rnacentral:rRNA from 1 species
GGAGAGAGGUAGCUUGCUACUGAUCUUAGCGGCGGACGGGUGAGUAAUGCUUAGGAAUCUGCCUAUUAGUGGGGGACAACAUUUCGAAAGGAAUGCUAAUACCGCAUACGUCCUACGGGAGAAAGCAGGGGAUCUUCGGACCUUGCGCUAAUAGAUGAGCCUAAGUCGGAUUAGCUAGUUGGUGGGGUAAAGGCCUACCAAGGCGACGAUCUGUAGCGGGUCUGAGAGGAUGAUCCGCCACACUGGGACUGAGACACGGCCCAGACUCCUACGGGAGGCAGCAGUGGGGAAUAUUGGACAAUGGGCGCAAGCCUGAUCCAGCCAUGCCGCGUGUGUGAAGAAGGCCUUAUGGUUGUAAAGCACUUUAAGCGAGGAGGAGGCUACUUUAGUUAAUACCUAGAGAUAGUGGACGUUACUCGCAGAAUAAGCACCGGCUAACUCUGUGCCAGCAGCCGCGGUAAUACAGAGGGUGCAAGCGUUAAUCGGAUUUACUGGGCGUAAAGCGCGCGUAGGCGGCUAAUUAAGUCAAAUGUGAAAUCCCCGAGCUUAACUUGGGAAUUGCAUUCGAUACUGGUUAGCUAGAGUGUGGGAGAGGAUGGUAGAAUUCCAGGUGUAGCGGUGAAAUGCGUAGAGAUCUGGAGGAAUACCGAUGGCGAAGGCAGCCAUCUGGCCUAACACUGACGCUGAGGUGCGAAAGCAUGGGGAGCAAACAGGAUUAGAUACCCUGGUAGUCCAUGCCGUAAACGAUGUCUACUAGCCGUUGGGGCCUUUGAGGCUUUAGUGGCGCAGCUAACGCGAUAAGUAGACCGCCUGGGGAGUACGGUCGCAAGACUAAAACUCAAAUGAAUUGACGGGGCCCGCACAAGCGGUGGAGCAUGUGGUUUAAUUCGAUGCAACGCGAAGAACCUUACCUGGCCUUGACAUAGUAAGACUUUCCAGAGAUGAUUGGUGCUUCGGGACUUACAUACAGUGCUGCAUGCUGUCGUCAGCUCGUGUCGUGGAGAAUGUUGGGUUAAGUUCGCA